UUACCAAGCACCACAGCCGGCAUCACGCUACACUGCGGAGCACGGGUUCUUUACCUGUGACCCUGCGUGGACAGGCAGCUGCAGCUCUCCGUCUGUCAUCUUGAGACUACGACACCAUGUAUCUCUAACCUGGGAAAAGACCAGAAUUUGAAAUUCAAAGUAUGAUUUCCACUGAAUGCAUAGUGCUUUUGCAUCAUUGUAGAAUGAUAAAAAAAAAAAUCACCAAUUGAGGGCCAUCUGUACACGAAGAAAGGUAUCUGGGGCCACUGCCUGGAAAAGCACUUACCUGGAGCCUACUUCCCCCAUUUCCUCACCCUUCCACGGAAGUGUGGGCUGCAUUCCUUGCUCCUCAGGCCCUGGAGCACCAGGCCCCUGCAGGUCCACCGCAGGCAGGGUUUGUCCUACUGUGCUAGCUACGGCCUGCCUCCCGGACGUGGCCCACCUUGGUCACGAGUGCACGUGGCAUAGCCCUGAGCGCUCCAUUCUGCUCUCAGCUCAGCUCUGACACUGCAGGCUCCCACCUGACCUUGCCCUGCUGCAUGCAGCCUCCUUCCCGGGUGCCUUGGAUGGGGCUUCUAACGCCUGGGGCUCCUGGCAGCAAUCCCCGCCAGACUGCCCUGAGGGCCCAGGGGCUCAAUAGCUCACAGCACAUCUGUAACUGAUUCCUGGCCUUCCUGAGUGUCUGGCACCGCUGUGAGCAGCUUUGAAUUAAGUCAAGCUUCUUAAUUAUGUAGCCCAAAUUUUCUAAAUUUUUACUAAUUUUUUAUGUGCCGGAUCACUCCUUUCCUGUCUUGUAACUUUUAUUACUUAAGCUAUCCUUUCUUGAAAUCCUAAUUUCAUCAUUAUUUAUUAUGCUAAUCAGCUGUCUUGAGCUCUCAGAUCUGUUUCCUGCCCUCUUAUUCUGCUCUAUACUGUGGGCAACUAACUACAUUCACAGACCCUUCUGAUGCCCAAGUGAAGUUGGUCACUGGAAGACACUGGGAGGGGACUAGAGGCCUCCUGUGGUGUCUCCAGUGGUGGCCCUGUCUCCUCAGUGACUCCAGCUCAGGUCAUGUUUCAGCUUGCCCACUGGCCUGGCUCUGAGCCCCGCUCCACCAGUCCAGGGAUCCGAGCAGUGUCCUGCUGUUUUUAAUGUCUGGAUUGUCUCUCUGUCCUCUCUUUGACUUCUUUGUGCUUACAUGAUCCACAUAUGCAAUUAAAUUCCCUCUGUCAAAAGGACUUACCAUGAUUUCUAGUUCAGGGAUGGAUACUGACUGAUAGAUAAUAUUAUUACCAUUAUAGUAAUAAUUAUUGAUCUUAUUUUCUACUUUCAGUUGUAAUAUAAGUCUACUCCUAUGUUUUCUAAUUGCUUUGGUCACCUUUGAUUUUUGCUUUCAGUUUAUUUAUCUUUGCUGAGAGUUUUCUUCUUUGUACAGUGUAGGCUUUGUAUUUGUGAAGUCUGUGUUUUGGAAAACUUAACACCUUCAGAACUUACAAUUACAGCCCCUGACUUAUGAGAGUCAGACUUAAAGUUUUCUGACUCUGCAAUGGUGUGACAGUGAUAUGCAUUCAGGAGAAACUGUACUUUGAAUUUUGGAUUUUGUGUUACCCUUUAUACAUGCAUGAUUACAUGUCCUGUGUGAUUCGGCACCAUGUGCAGCUAGAGAAAUGAGAAGUUGUGCUGUAUUUGCGUACCAUGCGUCAAAAUUGCAUUCUACUGUCAUGUUUAACUAAUUAGAACAAAUAUUUUAAAAUUUUUGAAUUUUGGUCUCUUCCCUGGCUAGCACUGUGCUUUGUGCUAUAAGCUAUAAUAUUUGGUAAGUUAUGUGCAUUAACUGCAUUUUUGACUUAGGAUAUUUUAAAUUUACAAUGGGCUUGUCAGAUGUAACUUCAUUGUUAAGUCAAAGAAUGUCUGUACAGCUUUUUGUCAUUUAUUUCAUAUCUCAAUGCAGGAGGAAAUGAAAAGACCAAUAGGGCAGAGGCCAGGACUACCUACUGCGCUUCCAUUCCAUACUAAUUUAAUUUUAAGUUUAAUUAUUGUUACACGUUCUCUUUUAUAUAGGAAAAUAAGGUUCCUCCCUCCCCACUACUCACACUCCAUCCCUUCCAGGAAUUGCUUUGGCAUCUACAGGUCAGCAAACUGAAAAAGAAUCAAAAUUUCAGGCUGAAAAGAAGUGUACAUACAAAAAGAGAUUCAGAUAUGCAUUUUAAAAGAAGGAGAUUCUUAUGUUCAGAAAAAAAAAAAUAGGGGAAUGAGACCUUGAAGGCCUGUGAGAAGGUCAGGGUGGGUUUUUAAGGCUUUAGAACAUUAGGACAUUUUUCUCAGUUGAGUCUUAACUUUCAGAAAGGGUGAUGUACAGCUGGGUUAGGUGUGGAGGGACUGAGUUCAUCUCAUGGUCUUUUCUCUUUUUUUCCCACGUAUUUAUUUUACCCUCAUCUUUUUACUGCGAAUUGAACUCAGGGAUGCUCUACCACUGGGCUACAGCCCCAGCCCUUUUUAUUUUUUGCUUUGUGGCAGGGUUUCACUAAGUUACCCAGGCUGGCCUUGAAAUCGUGAUCCCCCUGCCUCACCUUCCCAACAGCUGUGGUGACAGCCUGGGGCCAUCAAACCCACCUGCCCAGUUUGCCCUGACCCUUGAAUCAGAGUUAGGUAGUGCAGUGGACUGAACUGUGUCCUCUAGAAUUCACAGGGCAGAGCUCUAUCCCUCAGUGUACUUGGGGAGAGGGUCUUUAAAGAGACAAGUUUCCAUAAUGUCACAAGGGUGGGCCCUAAUCCAACAUGAUUAGUGCCUUAUAAGAGGGAGAGACCCCAGGGACGUGGGCAGACACAGGAAAGGCCAGUGUGGACACGGCGAGAAGGAGGCUGUCUGCAGGUGAAGGAGAGAGGCCCCAGGGAAACCAAGCCUGAGGACAUUUUUGACUUCUAGAUUCCAGAACUGUGAGAAAAUAAAUGUCUGCUCUUCAAACCACCCAGUUUAUGGUAUUGGGUCAUGGCAGCCUGAUUAACAAAUACAGCUGGGUGCAGAACUCUAACUGAAUGUCUUUGUGCAGUGCUCUGAGGUGUUGUUCUUUGAAGUUCUGCAGUGUAUCUCUGUGCCUUUUGGGUAAUGCCUAAAAUCUGUUUUCUAGUUAUGAAUUCUUUUGCUUUAUCUAAUGUACUAUUUAAGCCAUCCAUUUAAGUUUUUAAUUUCCUUUACGUAUCCCAAUGGGAUGGGGUCAUUUUUACCUAGACUGCUCUCUCCACAUAGGGUACAGGCCUUCAGCAGGGCUAGCCUUCUGUGCAAGGUUCUCAUCCAGGGCCAGUGCUUCCCUCAUGUCCCUAUGUGGGCAUGAAAUUCCAAGCCCUCAGGUGGAAAGAAUCAGUGGUCACCUCUCCACCACCUCGCUGUAGCUGGUCGACUAGUCGACCUUUGGCACGUUGUUCUAUUUUCAAUUUUCUGUUUCUGGAGGCUGGGUCUUUCUUUCUUGAAAGCUUAACUAUGAAACAUCACAUGGUACCCCAAUUAACUAAAUAAUUUUUAUGGAUUUAUUUGUUAAAUUUUUUUUCUUAAUAUAUUUGUGGUUGUUGAUAGACCUUUAUUUAUUUAUACACGGUGCUGAGAAUCCAACCCAGUGCCUCACACAUGCCAGGCAAGUGUGGCAUGAACCACAGCCACAGCCACAGCCCUGAAAUUUUUUAAAUGCAAUUUAUGCAGGAUAAAUAAAUAUGAGGUAGAUCAUAUGGCAUUUGGUUUGGUUUCUUUGCUAAUAACAAAUUAUCUCAUAUUAAAAUAAAUAUAUAUCAAACAUCUUAAAUUUGUAUUUAAUCAAGCAUUUCUGUUUUUAAAGCAGUAUUUUUCUUAGUCUUCCACUUACUAAAACAGAAAAUCUUGAGUAACACUUGAUAAUGAGAAGAAGAAGAAAAAAAAGCCUCAUUAUUAGUUUUUGAAAGAGAAAGACAAUUUAAGUUGUUCUGGGGCCAAAGAAAACUACCAGAAAAUUCCUUCUUGAUUCUUAAACAGCACUGAGAAGCCAGAUAGGACAAGGACAAGGUGGGCUCCUGGAAGUCCGUGAGGAGCAGCUUACCUUACCAAAGGACUGAGCUCAGUCCUUGGAAGCCGGACUGGCAUUUUCCAUCAUCUAAUUGAAGCUCGGAUGAAUUAUUGUUGAAGGACAAAGGAUACAAGGGCAGUUGGAUCUUGUGUGUGUGUGGGGGGGCGGGGGGUAUAAUCAGAAAGUUCUAAGAGUCAGAAUGAGAGACUGAGGCCUGGGAUUUUGCAGUCAGAUUUAUAGAAGGCUAUUUAAGGACCACAGGCACCUACAUGAGUGACCCCACUGCCCCGGGGUGGAUGGAGGCUUCUCGUAUCCUUCCUAGGGUAACGCGAGGCUUCGAGUAAUAUCUGCAAGUGUUUGGGAUUGCUAAAGAGCUGCCCUACAGGAUCCACGGGGUCUUGCCCUUCUCCAACCAUUCAAUAAAUAGCACUCAGCGGAGAUUCUGGCUGAGGAUACUUGUUUUCAAAACAACAGCCCUGAGCCAACCUCCUUAAGCAGUUCCAUAUGUUUCUAUGGAGAGUUUAUGGAUUGUGGCCUCCGGAAUUCUUUUGUUUAUCACUGGGAAUCCAAGUCCUGAAAGCUGCUAACUAACCAUGAGGUUUUUCUGGUUAUACAAGUCGUUGGACCUCUUAAGGACUUUGACAUGAGGACCACUUUCUGUGGAAUAAGAAUUAGUGGUUUAAAAAGAGUGCAUUUAGCAGUAUCAGUCAAGUAUCAGUUUCUGAAUGUUGUUACUGGCUGGGCCUUUACUUUUUUGCUUUCUAUUAUUAUUAUUAUUUUUUAAACUGGACUGUGCUGCCUUAUGUAUAUUCUUAAAUGAGGCCCUUAAAGGGAAACCAGAGCAAAGUCUUCAAAGAGGAAUUUUUUUUUUUUAAUGAACAAAUAUGUUGGGCACACCUGAGAAGACAGAAAGACGGGUCCUUUCCUGCCUGGGGCUGAAAGGCACAGCUCCUCAAAACACUAAGGACUCAUUCCUUCCCUGGGCAAUGAGUCCCCUCCCCUGGGCAAUGACUCCUCCCCUCCCCCAUCCAAGCCCAGUGAGCAGAGCUGCUCCUCUGCCCUUGCCAAUCCCAUGCCCAACACAUGGCGGAUCUAUCCUGUUUCCAGGAAAGAGGUUUCCGUGGAAUGCUUCAUCAGCCUUAAUCAUAGCUACUAUUUACUGGGCACUUUGUGCCAAGUACUGUAGUCUUUUUAUAUUUGAUCUCUUUUAAUCCUCUUCUCACACUAGCCCAGUGAGGUGGGUACUGUAAUCAUCUCUCUUUUUACAGAUAAAGAAAUCGAAGCUCAGCGUUUUGAGCAAUUUGCCUGAAGUUCCUUAAUAGCUGCAUUAGCCUACUACUUUAAUUUUUGCUACCAGUGGCAGAGUUGGGAUGUGAAUUCAGGCUGCCUGAUGUGAAGCUGUUCUCCGCCAGGCUGUCCCCCUCCCCCUGUCUCCCAGGAAGGGACUUCUGCCCUGAAGGCUCAGCCUCUGCCGCUCUCCUAGCUUGGAAACACUACUGUUCUUUUAAAAUGUCGUUUGUGUUGCUUUUCCUGCUGUUUCACAUACAGCAGUGCAGAAGAGGGGCUGGUCAUCUCCCGAUAAAACAAUCCUUCACACAUGUGAGCACCAUCCGCAGCUGAUGACAUCUGGCUUCUCCAGAGCGUGAAUGACGUGCCAGCACCCCGGGUUGACACCCUUGGAAGGCCUGGGUGCCCGCUGCCCAGGCUGACGAGUGACUCAGCAGAGAGCACACCAUGCUGCGUUUGGUCUCCACAGAUGAGUCAGCCCUGACGAAUGGCCAGCUCCAGUGUGGCCCCCUGACGUUUUAACAGAAUAUUAAUUGCCCUGUCACUUCCUGUUCCACACAGCUGGGUGGGAUUGCUACCAGCCACACUGUGGAGCAGCUACAUAGUUCAGCCCAGCCCAGAAAGGUUUCCUGUGGUGGGUGAGAUGACAACAUGCACAAGGGUCAGACUCCAGAUGUGGGAAUCUGGACUUUCCUUCUCUUGGGGAAAAACAUCGCCUCGUUAUCAUCUCAGAAGGUUUUCAGUACAGAUUCAGGGCCAACGUCUGCAGAAAGAGCCCAGCUUCUCUCACCGGGAGGGCACCAAUGUGGUCCAUGUGAAGGUCCCCGAGGCUCUGAGGCCACCUACCCCAGAGCCCAGGGACCAGGGGCCAGGGGAGAGUGUUUAGGCAUGAAUGAGGGGAGCCAGAUCUAACGUGCUCCUUGAUGGUGGAAGUCAUUUCAAGAAGAGGAGCAAGUUAUUUCCUGGAUCGAGGGCCUGCAGCUGGUGGGAAGAGCACACAGCGGCCGGGUGGGGAGUUUCCCUUCAUUCUUUCAUUCACUCAUUCAUUCAUCUGUUCUUUCUUCCCACAGACCUUCACCUCAGGCUGCAGAACUCACUCACAGUAUAUUCAGAGGGGAGAAGAAAAUGCGACUUCAUUUUUCUUUAUUGGUUGAUACAAUGUUCCUCCCAAGUCUGUCCCUGGACUCCAGGGUUAAAUUGUAGCCUGACGUUGUAAACUUAGUCCAUUGGGCUCCAGGUGGACACUGGGUUUCCUUUCGGCUUUCCAAUGUCCCCUCCUUCCCUCUGCUCCUAGGCAGGUUCUGAGCAUAUAUGUGCCCGGUGGAUGGAAUCCUCUCUCAGACGUUGUGUGAUGCUGUCAGCUGGGAAGGUCCUGGCCCCCCUCGCUGGCCUGUGUGGCAGAGCGGUUCCCACAGGGAACCAGGGAAGUCUGUGAUGUUCCUUGAGGUGCUGGCAUCCAUCGCCGGAGAGCAUGGCUCCAGGGCUUGGUCUUUAUGCCCCAGUGAGGCUAAGGAAGGCGCUGGCUUGGUUCUGACUGCAGGCCCCGCUGCUCCUCCAGUACUUUCUAUGAGGGAAAAAGAGAAAGAAAGGAGCUUUCAGGUGAGAAGACGUGUCAGUGAGCUUCUGCUGCAGUGAUGCUGUGUAACAAACCACCACUGAUACUCAGGAGCUUAAAUACAUAUUUAUUUAGCUAAAUCAGCAAUAAAUAUUUAUUUAGUUCAGGGUGGGCAAUCUUUUUUUCUGUAAAGUGCCAAACAGUAAAUCUUUCAGGCUUUCCAAACCAUACAGUUUGAACUUUGUCCACAAAAGCAGCCAUAGGCCACAUGUGAAUAAAUAAAUGUCACUAUGUUACAAUAAAACUAUAUUGAUGGACAAUGAAAU
rnacentral:lncRNA from 1 species